UACGUAGGGGGCUAGCGUUGUCCGGAAUCAUUGGGCGUAAAGAGCGCGUAGGCUGCCAGAUAAGUCCGGUGUGAAAGUCGGAGGCUCAACCUUCGAAAGCCGGUGGAUACUGCGUGACUAGAGUACGGAAGAGGAGAGUGGAAUUCCUGGUGUAGCGGUGAAAUGCGCAGAUAUCAGGAGGAACACCAACGGCGAAGGCAGCUCUCUGGGACGUUACUGACGCUGAGACGCGAAAGCGUGGGGAGCAAACAGG
rnacentral:rRNA from 1 species